UCUUAAAAAAAUAAAAUAAAAUUAGAAAGAUACAGAGAAGAUUAGCAUGGCCUCUGCACAAGGAUCACACACAAAUUUGUGAAGGGUUCCAUAUUUUU
rnacentral:snRNA from 1 species